rnacentral:rRNA from 1 species
UACGGAGGGGGCUAGCGUUGUUCGGAAUUACUGGGCGUAAAGCGCGCGUAGGCGGACCUGCAAGUCGGGGGUGAAAGCCCGAGGCUUAACCUCGGAACUGCCCUCGAUACUGCGGGUCUCGAGUCCGGGAGAGGUGAGUGGAAUUCCCGGUGUAGCGGUGAAAUGCGCAGAUAUCGGGAAGAACACCUGUGGCGAAGGCGGCAUCCUGGACUGGUCCUGACACUCAGGAGCGAAAGCGUGGGGAGCGAUCCGG